GUACGGAAGCCCCAGAGAAUGGCUCUAAAUUGUUGGACCAUCCAUGAGGAUGCUGGUCCUCACAGUCAGGCUUCAGGAGAGAUCGUAUGAUGUCUUUUCCUUGUGCGUCCUCAUAUGCUGUUUUUGUAGUUUGUCUCCAGAUCCCACAUUUGUGGAUAGAGCCAGGCAAUUGCUUCUUAAUAUGAAGCAUGGAUUCAUAACCUCAUUUGACCAAACACCUGGAAUGUGAGUUUGGAUUGAGAAGACUCUGCUAGUGGAAGGGGCGAUCUUAGCAUGCAGGUCACUUCAAAGAAGGCCAGGCCCAUCUGGGGUAUCUGAACAAAAUCUUUUGGGAUAGCCAGAGAGUAAGAGGAUGGCUGAGGAAGAGAGAAAGUUGGCUCCAGAUGGUAAGUGACAGGUCCGUAUCACAAUAAUAUGCAAUUUCCUAAGGGUUCUGAGGGCAUUAACUUCCAAGAGAUGCAUACCCAGCAUCUGGCACAGAACCUCUAGUACUGCCUACCCAGCAUGUUUUCCUUGAUCCCUCUUCCUUACUAAUAAGGUGGUCUCACAGUAGAGACCAGUGAUGCCAGAUAUCUGAUUUCUC
rnacentral:lncRNA from 1 species